CGCCACAACAGACGAGGGCAGGCGGAGUCCUCCAGGGCGGACGGGGGCGCUGCUCCGGGACGGACGGAUGCGCUGCGGGUCGGAGUCCUCCGGGACGGACGGGGGCGCUGCGGGUCGGAGUCCUCCGGGACGAUAGGCGGCACUAUCGUUUCGCAAUCAUGGAAACAAACGCCGCGUUGAAGCAAAGCAAACCCGUUCCCCGGAACUGUUAAAGGAUGUUUUGUAUCUUUAUGACGUUUGAAACUUUCGAAACAAAUAAAACGGACGCUGUAUCAGAACAGAAAGGUUGAGAUUGAUUUGUACAUUCGCCAGUUCCAGAUAUAAAUAAUGCGGACUCAGCAUACAGUAUGUUACAAAGGACAACCACUUUGAUGGCAGGUUCACCUGUCUAUCUGAUCGAUUCAAGUCCUCUGUGUGGUCUGUCAGACUCUGCUAGCCAGGAAGAUAGUUGACAGAUGGCUCCAAUUUAACAAUCAAGCCGUCUUUUCUCAAAUAUAUGUAAAUAUAGUCUUGUUCAAGUAAGAAAUGCCUUUAGAUUGCGUGCUGGAUAGAAUCAAACUCCAAUGUUUGUUUGUUUAUUCGUAUGCUACUAUACAGACCUGAACUACUUUAGACGCUAUAUAUGUGUAUAAAGAUAUUUUUAUGAAUAAAGUAUAUUUUUGAAAUAAGCCAGUGCCUUAGCAGUCACCCGAGCCAUUUUCCACUUCAUCUGGAGAUCAAAGUGUUUGCAGAGACGCUAUGUACAAUGCUGUGGAUAAAAGGAGGAAGGAUGUAACCAAUGCCGCACUCAUGCUGAUGGCUACCUUCGUGUGAGGCUGCAUCAAGCUGUGCACAGAUGAUCCUCUGUACACAAACACCAAGAAUCACUUUGUACUGAGGUUCUACCUGUCCCAGUGAUGUGAAGGAUGGUCUGGCCUUGUUGCUGUGGAACGCUCCAAGUAGUUGGACUGUUUGGUACUAUCUGACCCUCAUGGAAAAAUUUGCAAAGAAAACCAUAUUUGACCACGUGUCCAUCAGGAAGUGGUCAGCCCAGAAUGUCCUCAAGACACUGUAGGAAAAGGAGUGGGUUGAUCCUGUUGGAAGGUUCCCAGAGCAGACUGUCAAAAAGUCAUUUGGCAGAAUGCCUCAUCACCAGAACUUUCCAAUAAGCUCCAAGACGUAGCUUACCAGGUGGUGAGAAGAGCAUUGCCUGUCAGAUCCUUCAUGCAUGCCUGUUCUCUGUGCACCGUCUUAUGCUGUUGUUAAAACAGCUGUGUGAGUGAACAGACUAUCACAUAUCCCCUUCUGGAAUAUACCUUUUCAAAGAAGGUACAAAGAAAGAUGCUUCAGAGAUAGUAGGAAUUGCAGAUGCUGGAGAAUCUGAGAUAACAAGGUG